GAUUAACGCUGGCGGCGUGCCUAACACAUGCAAGUCGAGCGGCAGCGAGUUUUACACUGACUUCUGGAAGCUUCUAGUUGAAAGAGAAGAUUUAUUCAAGAAUUUUGUGUAAAAUGUCGGCGAGCGGCGGACGGCUGAGUAACGCGUGGGAACGUACCCCAAAGUGAGGGAUAACGCAUCGAAAGGUGUGCUAAUACCGCAUAUGGUCUUCGGAUUAAAGCCUUCGGGCGCUUUGGGAACGGCCUGCGUAAGAUUAGAUAGUUAGUGGGGUAAUGGCCUACCAAGUCGACGAUCUUUAACUGGUUUGAGAGGAUGAUCAGUCAGACUGGAACUGAGACACGGUCCAGACUCCUACGGGAGGCAGCAGUGAGGAAUCUUCCACAAUGGGCGAAAGCCUGAUGGAGCAACGCCGCGUGCAGGAUGAAGGCCUUCGGGUUGUAAACUGCUUUUAUAAGUGAGGAUUAUGACAGUAACUUAUGAAUAAGGAUCGGCUAACUACGUG
rnacentral:rRNA from 1 species